AUGAUCGCAUGUUAGAAAAAAAAAAAAAACCUAAAUUAUCUUAUAAAUUAAUUAAAAAAUCGUUGACCAUAAUAAAUAAACAUACAUACCAUGAGGUAAAUACAAGAAGCGAUGGCGAAGGUCCAGUAGCGGCCGAGAUGGGCAUCGGCAACAUAAGCGCCCACAAUGGGGGUGACCCAAAUGGUGCCAACCCAGUUGGUGACGUUGUUAGCCGACUUCACAGUGCCCUGAUGCAGCUUGUUUGUCAAAUACAGCACCAAAUUUGACGAUAUCCCAUGAUAGGCCAUACGUUCAAACGCCUCGUAUGCUGCAAGUAAUAACAGCAAGCCAAAAAGUAGCCAACAAAAGAUUUAGAAAACAGUCGGGAAUUGAACAGUUUUGUUAAAUAUCUCCUAAAAAGUAACGUGACUACAAGUCGUGAUUUGAUUUGGAGAGAUGGACGGGAAAGGACCGCUUUUUGGUAACCACCCAUGGGGUCUUUGACAACUCCAAGUUUUGGAGCUAUGUAAUGAUUAAGGGUUACUUUUACUGUUUAAAGAUUCACUAAAAUCUCUGGAAGUGGUACAAGAAAUCUGAAGUUCGAAGCUCGCUUAUGCACACGAGGAGAUCAUACGAGGAUGAGGAAAAAGGAAAAGGGUUCCAAGGAAAUAUGGAAGAGGGAACAAAGGCAUGCAUAUGCGAUUGCAAGGUGAGACAAAAGUGUCAUAAGAGAAAUGAGCUAGCAAAACGGCUGGCCGAAUCCUGAACAAAGGCAUGCAUAUAUGGAAGGAAAUAUAAUAACAACUCUUACACUUAUAUAGUAUUAAACUGAGAGAAGUUCAAAUAUUGUACCAACAACAAAGGAGCAAGCUCUCCAUCCCCCACGCUUGGAUCUGCGAACAGGGUUGCCUUUGAGGUCCACAGUGCCAUCUUGUGUAUAAUCGUCUAUAUUUCCUUCCAUAUUUUUAUUUAAUUAUUUGCUGCUCCUUCUCUUUUCUUCUUGUUCGUCAGUUUAAGUUUAGAGUGUCCAUAGAUGUAUAAUAUCGUCAAAUUUAUAGACACUCAAUUUCUCUUCGCCGGGAAAGAUAAUUAGUAGUAAAUUUACCCAUAUGCCAUCACCAAUCUUCCUCCGAUAUUUUUUUUGGGUUGGGGGGGGGGNNNNNNNNNNNNNNNNNNNNNNNNNNNNNNNNNNNNNNNNNNNNNNNNNNNNNNNNNNNNNNNNNNNNNNNNNNNNNNNNNNNNNNNNNNNNNNNNNNNNNNNNNNNNNNNNNNNNNNNNNNNNNNNNNNNNNNNNNNNNNNNNNNNNNNNNNNNNNNNNNNNNNNNNNNNNNNNNNNNNNNNNNNNNNNNNNNNNNNNNNNNNNNNNNNNNNNNNNNNNNNNNNNNNNNNNNNNNNNNNNNNNNNNNNNNNNNNNNNNNNNNNNNNNNNNNNNNNNNNNNNNNNNNNNNNNNNNNNNNNNNNNNNNNNNNNNNNNNNNNNNNNNNNNNNNNNNNNNNNNNNNNNNNNNNNNNNNNNNNNNNNNNNNNNNNNNNNNNNNNNNNNNNNNNNNNNNNNNNNNNNNNNNNNNNNNNNNNNNNNNNNNNNNNNNNNNNNNNNNNNNNNNNNUAAUAAUUAAUGAUAAUUAUUAUUAAUAAUUAAUUUUUGAAUAUUAAUAAUAACAAUAAUUAAAUUACAAAAUAAUAAUUGUGAUAAAAAUUAAUUAAGAAUUUUAUAGUAAUUUAUUACAAUUUAACUCAUUCUAAUUUUGAUUCAUGUUUAGUGAACGCACUAUAAAAUUGUAAAUCAUUUUAUAUUCAAUUAGACCACUCUAUAUUAUUUACAAUUUAUUCAUAAAUAUUAUGAAUUUUAUAGUGCAUUCACUAAUCGGAAUAGUUAUAAUCAAGAUGAGGAAUUUGAAUCAGAAUAAUUUAUUUACUUGAACUGCAAGAAUUGUAAUUAGAAUGAGCUAUAUUACCAUUUAUGUGUUUACUUUGUCUUAAAUCAAAAUCAUAAUGAGUUAAAUCGUAACAAAUUACUAUAAAAUUCUUCAUUAAUUUUUAUCAUAAAUAUUAAUUUACAGUUAAUAAUUAUUAUAUUUUUUAAUUAAAUGGAUGGUAUUUUGGGAAUUUAAAAUUAUAAGGGGUGAAUUGAUAGUCUAAGGGUUUCAAUGAAAUAAAACAGAGUGUAAGAAGCUUAACAAAAUUUUAUAAUACAGAAAGUUUUAUAAUAUUUAUAAAUAAAUUAUAAACAAUAUAGAGUAUAGGGAGCUGAAUGAAAUUUUAUAGGACAGCGGUUGAUGUUAGGCGGACCCGUAAAUAAUAAUAUACAUGUAACACUGGUUGAAUUUUAAAUAUACUUCAGCAUAAAGUAGAGGUGAGGAACUGUAUGUCCAAGACUGUACAAGCUCAUGAUCAUUGGUUCAUCAAUUACUGAUAUCUCUCAUUUGACGCGUGGAGAAACAGUUUCCGUAGAGACCUGGAAACCUAGAGUCAAAGCAUGGGUCAAACUUAAUUUAAUAAUUUUUUUCUGGAGUAGGAAGGUAUGAGCAGCAUGGCCCAAAAAUUCUUUGUGGAAAAAAUUUUGCAAAUUAAAUCAACCGAAGACCCCACAACUGGUGAUUAAGACAAAUUAAGCCAGCUUCCUCUUGCCAAUGUCAUCAUAAGUGAAUGCGUGAUUGACAAACGCUCAACUAUCUUAUGGAUUUCUUAGCUUCCAGUCAUUGAACUGUUUUAAAUAUUCGUCGACUAUUCAAAAUUAUGAGACCAGUUGGUUGGUUUCGAUUAGAUUAUUUCUACACCAAUCACUAUAAGUACAAAAAAUUUGUAUAAUAGGGUGCGUUUGGAAUUGAGGUGCUGUAGAUUAAAAGCUACAGUUGUUGUGAAAAAAAAAAACUGUAACUAUGAAAUAAAAGUUAGUAAUAUAUAAUAAAUAUAAAUUUUAAAUAAUAAUUUUGAUAAAAUUAUUAAAGAUAUAAUAGAUUUUACAUUAUACAAAUGAAAAAUUAUAUCAACGUAACUUUCAAGAUACAACAACUAAUAUUUACCAAACGUUUUAGUGUUGUAACUUUUAAGAUACAGUUGUCCAACCUCAAUUUCAAACGCACUUUAUCUAUAACUAAAAUCACAUUUAUUUUAAUCAUCUUAUUUGUUAUUUAAUCGCUACAUUGAACCAUAUGAAUGAGGAUUAUUUUAUGUCUUUUUUUUUCUAAAUAAACUAAUAUUAACGCCAAGUAUUAUGAAUGAGGAUUAAGUCACGAGUUAUAUUAUCUCGCUUCGCACAUAUGAUAAAAGAAAAAUCCGUGAUUAUUGGCUGUGAAAAUAGGGGGACCACUCCAAGACAUUACAAGAAUCAAAUUGCAUUUACACAUUUGACCACGCAUUUGCACGGCUGCAACUUGUUUUCAACCGACCAUCCCUAUCAUGGGAUCAGAAUUGCUGACUCUUGAAUGAUCGUGUGCAUUGACUUGAUUUUCCACGACUCUUUCACUCUUCUUUUGAUUAGUAAAGUCGUCAGAAACAGCAACGGCUUCUAGACUUCCUAGUUAAACGAGAAUGGUGAAAAUGGACCAACGAAGAUGCAAUUGAAAUUGAGAUUUUCAAUUACAAAUAGAAAAAAAAAAAAAAAAAAGGAAAAAGCGAAUACAUACAUAAUUUGUAAAAGUAUUCCGAACUCUCGCAUCAACUAUUUAAAAUUGUUGUGAAUGGUCGUUAGUUCAAACGAUAAAAUCUUUUAAAUACAAAUAAGAGGUUCGAAGUUUGAAUCAAUUAUUUGUAAUUUUAAAUUUAAUUUAUGAUACCAUCAUAAUCUUAUAUUACCUUGAUGUUAAAAGUGAUGUUAAUUUAGAUUAACUUUUUCAAUUAUUUUGAGAUUUAUGGUGAUCAUAUUCUAUUUGAUUUUACCAACUGGCUGCAUUACUUAGUUCUUGAAAUUUUUUAUUUAUAAUCUUUCAAGUUGUGGUGACCCAUGGUGAAAGUGAUUUUAGUUUUUUAUGAAUACUUUUUCUAGAUUUUAGAAUAAAAAGAGUACUAAUAAAGAAACUUAUUUGCGAUCACAUUGAACAUAAAGCAUUUUUGUAUAUCAAAAAAUAGAAUCAGCCUACACUUUUUUAUCUCUAAAAAUGGAAUCAACUUAUAUUUAUCAUGGAUUAUGAGAUGUGGCAUUUGUGACGCAAAUAAUGGUGUAAUGUAAUUAAUCACGUUUAAAAAUUUAUAAAAAUUGAUCACAUUCACUAUUUGAAUAUUUUAUUUUCAUAUCAAAUGUAGAUUACAUCACAUAAUGAGCAUUUUCAUUUAAUUUUAAAGGGGAAAAAAUAAUACUAAACAUCCCAAAACUUCCACUAGAAUAUUCAUUUCAAAAUAAGGUGUGAUACUCGUCAAGCGAUGACUAAUCUUUCAUAGUUUUUAAAGUAAUUUAUUUUAAUAUUUAAUGAUUUACAUGAUCCGUGCUACGCACCUCUUAUAUAUAGUACAAUGAAUUUUUUUUCUAGAUAAGCACUAGUGUUUAUUUCAAUCACCUCUAUGAAUUUUAUAUUGGUAUCACAUAUAUAAGUUUUGUCUCCCAACUUUAUAAAUUUAUCACUAGUAUACAAGUGAUGAAUAAUUGACUGGAAACAUAAAUUAAGCUCUUCUUGACUCAUUUAACUUAUUACCUUUGGCAGACAUAAAGGUCGCUUUUCAAAAAUAAAAUAAUGGUGAAUCCCUGGACUGCUUGAUUCUAAAAAUUAAAUAAAAGAUAAUUUUGUAUUCAUCUCUUCUUUCUGGUGUGACAAGCACGUUAAAAAUUGCUCUACAUUUCGUUAUGGAUUUAUUUCUACUCGUAAACCAGACAGCACGAAAUAUUGAAAUUUUUUAAGUCUCAAUUUUUGUAAUUAUAUCUUUAUUUUCUUUCUGUCUAGUUUUCUUGAUUAUGUUGUCGGAUAAAACUGUGGUGCAACUGUGGUACCAUGCCACAGUUGCACCCAACCGUUGGAUUCCCACUUAUUCAAGUAGACCCCACUCAUUUGAGUGGAUCCAACGGCUGGUGCAACUGUGACACGGUACCACAGUUGCACUAUAGCUUGACCCUUAUGUUGUCUCAUGGAAGAAAUUCCUGACGUGACGUGUGUUUAUUUUUAUCUUAGUAGUCAAUAAUUUGAUGUGAUUGAACGUUAUUAAUACGCAUAUAUAACCAAAACUGUUUAUUUUUGUGCCUAAUAACUAAUUGACAGUAAAAUGAAAAAAAAAAAAAAAAAGAGGCAACAGAGAACUAAAAUUAGUUGGAAAUUAACUGAACAGCCAUUGGGUCUCCUGAGAUUAAAACUAAGGGUCUGAUUAUGUUGGAACUGCUCUAAGGUAGAGCAUUCUUUAAUAACCACACGAUCAAAGUUAUAACAAAUUUUUUACUAUUUAUCAUUUUUCAUGUAUGAUUAUAAUCCGUGUUUUACCUUAAAGUAGUUCCAAGAUAGCAGUGGCCUAAAACUAAUUAUAUGUGAAAUGUUAUAAAAUAAUUACCAUUAUUUGGGUCUACAAUUACCAUUUUAGGAAAAAAGAUUAUUUUUACCCAGCGUUGUUGUUAAUUUUAAACUUUCUGCUGUACGGCCAAGGCGGAUGUACGGUACAGCAGUAUGAAAUAAAAGUUAGUAAUAUAUAAUAAAUAUAAAUUUUAAAUAAUAAUUUUGAUAAAAUUAUUAAAGAUAUAAUAGAUUUUACAUUAUACAAAUGAAAAAUUAUAUCAACGUAACUUUCAAGAUACAACAACUAAUAUUUACCAAACGUUUUAGUGUUGUAACUUUUAAGAUACAGUUGUCCAACCUCAAUUUCAAACGCACUUUAUCUAUAACUAAAAUCACAUUUAUUUUAAUCAUCUUAUUUGUUAUUUAAUCGCUACAUUGAACCAUAUGAAUGAGGAUUAUUUUAUGUCUUUUUUUUUCUAAAUAAACUAAUAUUAACGCCAAGUAUUAUGAAUGAGGAUUAAGUCACGAGUUAUAUUAUCUCGCUUCGCACAUAUGAUAAAAGAAAAAUCCGUGAUUAUUGGCUGUGAAAAUAGGGGGACCACUCCAAGACAUUACAAGAAUCAAAUUGCAUUUACACAUUUGACCACGCAUUUGCACGGCUGCAACUUGUUUUCAACCGACCAUCCCUAUCAUGGGAUCAGAAUUGCUGACUCUUGAAUGAUCGUGUGCAUUGACUUGAUUUUCCACGACUCUUUCACUCUUCUUUUGAUUAGUAAAGUCGUCAGAAACAGCAACGGCUUCUAGACUUCCUAGUUAAACGAGAAUGGUGAAAAUGGACCAACGAAGAUGCAAUUGAAAUUGAGAUUUUCAAUUACAAAUAGAAAAAAAAAAAAAAAAAAGGAAAAAGCGAAUACAUACAUAAUUUGUAAAAGUAUUCCGAACUCUCGCAUCAACUAUUUAAAAUUGUUGUGAAUGGUCGUUAGUUCAAACGAUAAAAUCUUUUAAAUACAAAUAAGAGGUUCGAAGUUUGAAUCAAUUAUUUGUAAUUUUAAAUUUAAUUUAUGAUACCAUCAUAAUCUUAUAUUACCUUGAUGUUAAAAGUGAUGUUAAUUUAGAUUAACUUUUUCAAUUAUUUUGAGAUUUAUGGUGAUCAUAUUCUAUUUGAUUUUACCAACUGGCUGCAUUACUUAGUUCUUGAAAUUUUUUAUUUAUAAUCUUUCAAGUUGUGGUGACCCAUGGUGAAAGUGAUUUUAGUUUUUUAUGAAUACUUUUUCUAGAUUUUAGAAUAAAAAGAGUACUAAUAAAGAAACUUAUUUGCGAUCACAUUGAACAUAAAGCAUUUUUGUAUAUCAAAAAAUAGAAUCAGCCUACACUUUUUUAUCUCUAAAAAUGGAAUCAACUUAUAUUUAUCAUGGAUUAUGAGAUGUGGCAUUUGUGACGCAAAUAAUGGUGUAAUGUAAUUAAUCACGUUUAAAAAUUUAUAAAAAUUGAUCACAUUCACUAUUUGAAUAUUUUAUUUUCAUAUCAAAUGUAGAUUACAUCACAUAAUGAGCAUUUUCAUUUAAUUUUAAAGGGGAAAAAAUAAUACUAAACAUCCCAAAACUUCCACUAGAAUAUUCAUUUCAAAAUAAGGUGUGAUACUCGUCAAGCGAUGACUAAUCUUUCAUAGUUUUUAAAGUAAUUUAUUUUAAUAUUUAAUGAUUUACAUGAUCCGUGCUACGCACCUCUUAUAUAUAGUACAAUGAAUUUUUUUUCUAGAUAAGCACUAGUGUUUAUUUCAACUUUUGGACCAAUUAAAUGAAUUAAAAUCGGACUGAUGCCCCUCAUUGAUUGGGAUCGAGUUCAAGUUUCAAAAUUCUUCCGAAUCAACUACGUUUCUAGAAAUAUGUUGAAAAUCAAACCAACCACUUUUUUUUUUAGUCGAUAGAUCAUGAAUGCCAACCAAUGAUACUUUAUUCUACCAAAUUGAUUACGCUUUUAGAAAUACGUUGAAAGAUCAAACCAACCAUUUUACUUAGAAUAAAAGCUUGAGUACCAACAUUCGAGUCCAAUAUUAAAUGUCACUUAUUUAUUAAAUGAUGAAUACAAAAUUAGUUAUUACUCUAUUAUAUCAUUAACAAAUGAAUGUCACAUUAAUUCUUAUUUAAAUUAAGACUCAAAUAUUAAUAUUCUUAACAUUACUAGUUUAUUUAUUUAAAGAGAAAAAAAGAAUAAGCAAUACAAAUAAUGAUACAUUUGUAAAUACACACACAUAUAUAAGGAUGGAUCAACAACCCCCUAAAAAUAUUCUCAAUUUUACAUUAAUUAAUAUUUAUUAGAUUUGAAUUGAAUCAAUGGAUGAGAUUUAUUGAAAUCAAAUAUUCAAAAUUUUUAAUAUCUUUUCUCUCUAUGUAAACCCCACCUCAAAUCUUUCUUCUUCUUUUAUUUUUUUUCUCUUAAUUCACGUGAUGUGCUUUCUCUCUCUCUCCCCUCCUCUCUUCUCUUCACUUGUUCUUUGUAAUCUAUGACUUUUCAUUUGCUUUUUUUUUUCUCAGCCAUAAAAAUUCUUGACUCCUUCAAACAAAAAUUCUUUACUCUCUUCAAUUGUUAACCUCACAACUCUUUGUGAAGAUGCCUAAAGAUAUAGAAGAUUUGGUAGACAAGCAAACACAAAAUUUUGUAGUAAUGUUGUUGUCAAUAGACAAGCAUAAUCACAAGGAUUUUUUUGUUAAACUUGUGUUUGAUGAAUGUUUCGGUGGUGGUUAAAAUUAAUAAUUUUGUACUUUCUAAUAGUAUGUGGAGAGAGAAAAUGAAUGAAAUAAAGAGUUGUGAGGUUAACAGUAGGAGAGAGUAAAGAAUUUGAAAAAUGCUAGGUAAAGAGAAAGUUGAGAGAAAUAGUGAAGAAAAUGGUAGAGAGAGAGUGGAUGGAUAGAGAGAGAGGAUUAAUUUCUCUCAAUUUUCUCUCAGCUUUCUCUCUGCUUAGCACCACACCACUUUCAGAAUUUUUGUUGGAGAGAGUUAGAAUUUUUAUGGUUGAGCAAAAAAAAAAGCAAACGAAAAGUCAUAGAUUAAAAAGAACAAGAGAAGAUAAGAGAGGAGGGAAGAGAAAGAGAAAGCACAUCAGGUGAAGGAAAAGUAAAAAUAAAAGGAGGAAAAAGAUUUGAGGUGGGGAUCACAUAGAGAGAAAAGACAUUAAAAAAUCUUGAAUAUUUUUUAAUAAAUCACACCCAUUGAUUCAAUUCAAAUCUAAAGCAUAUUAGUUAGUGUAAAAUUAAGAGUAUUUUUAAGGGAUUGUUGAUCCAUCCCUUAUAUAUAAAUAAUUCUCUAGUCAAGGCAUUCUUACUCUUAGCUAAUUAGCUAGCAGUUGCUCUUUAUCUCCCCACUUUCUUCAUUUAGGUCUUAUUUGGGAUUAAAGUAUUGUAACUUUUAAAUUAAAUCUGUUGUAGAAAAAAGUUGUAACUAUAAAAUAAAAAUUAAUAAUAUGUAGUAAAUAUAAAUUUUAAAUAAUAAUUAUAAAUUUUCUAUCAUACAAGUAAAAAAUCAAUCAGAUUAAUACAGCUUCUAAGUUAUAACAGUUAGUGUUUACCAAACAUUUUAGUGUUAUAAUUUAAAACUAUAGUAAUCCAACGUCAAUCACAAACACACCCUUAAUUACCCACCAAGCCCCCCAGAAUUCUUAUCUCGGCCAGCUCGCCGGCCCUAUCACUGCCGACUCUGACCUCGCCUAGCCCUUUGGCAAGCUUGAAGGGAUUGAUUCUGAUGCCAUCCGUGAGACCGCUUACGAGGUACUUUUCACUUCAUGCAGGUCUUCUCCAGGGCUUGGUGGACCCAAUGCUACAAGCUUUUAUUCCUCAAAUGACAAUAAUAAUAAUAACGGUGGUGGUGACGAGGGAGUAGGAGGAGGCGGUGGUUCUGAAUCCGGGUCACCGACCGCUAGGUUUAACGGCUUCAUACUAAUUCCAAUUCUUAUUUUGAGCAUGCAACAAAUGCCAUUCAAUCUGCCUGCCAACAUGUAUCAGAAGUUGCUGCCUACCGUCUAAUCUUCCUUGAUUCAAACUUCGUGUUCUACGAAAGUCUUUAUGUCGGUGAUGUUGCAAAUGCAAGAGUUAGGCCUGCAUUGCAAACUCUUAAGCAGAACCUCACUCUUUUGAGUGCCAUUCUUAUGGAUAAAGCUCAGGCUUUAGCCAUAAAAGUAAGUUAUGAAGGCAUCUUUCGAAGCAUUCCUUAUGAUUUUGCUUGUUGGGGGAAGCUCCCGAGUCUUCUAUCGUUCCGAUCAUCAGAUGAUUGAGGAAGAUUUUGACAGCUUGAAGAGGGUAUUCUGCACAUGUGGUGAAGGACUGAUAGUUGAAGAUGUGGUGGAUCGCAAGGCUGAGACCGUUGAAGGGGUGAUAGGUUUGAUGGGGCAACAAAUUGAACAACUAAUAGAAGAUUUCAUAAUUCUUUUAUGUGAAACAAGUGGUAUCGGAGUUGGAAGCACAAGUCAAAAGCUACCAAUGCCACCAACAAUAGGAAGGUGGAACAGAGCAGAUCCUAACACCAUACUGAGGGUUUUGUGUCACAUGAACGACCGAACGGCAAACCAGUUUCUGAAGAAAUCUUUCCAGUUAGCAAAGAGGAAAUGAAGAUAAACCUUGUCUUGUACAUUUGAAAUAGAGAGAGUAAAUUUGUGUUUCACAAUAGUAUCGAUCACUUCUAGCCAAAUAACUGAAAAUAAAACUUGGAAAUACUAUAGGGGGUUCUUGUAUCUAAAUUCUGUUCACUCAAAUUCUAUAUGAAGAUGUUGUUGAGGGUUGAGAGAGCAUUGUAGUCUUUUUGGACUUCAAUUUUUUUUCCUUUUUCUUUUUUUCCUAGCACUAGGUACUGUUUGAUCUUAGUGUGAAUCUUCUUGGAGUAUUUUAUCAUAGAGAGUGUGCGUAAUAUAUCUUCGCAUAUAGUUUUUUUCUUUUAUUUUUAAUCUUUAUUUAUCCUGUCUACAAGAUGAAUAUUUUUAAAAAUAAAAACUCACAUGGUUAUCUAUUGAGCUAUUACUCUGUGAUUAGAAGAGAACUCACAGUGAAAUCCAUCUAAUGGUUUUUGCUUUUGUAGAUUUUCAAGAUUUUUUUUCCCUAAAAUUUCAACUUUCCAUAGAGUCACCAGGGAAACAAAUACUUUACAACAUUUUCUUUACAUUCUUUUUCUUCUCUUUCGAGCUAAAACAUUCUUGUGACUGAUGUGAAGGAAAUUUAACACAGACUGUUGUAUCAAACAAUCAACCCCAAAGUAAAAUUAUCAGUUAAAUCUCUAUAUUAGCCUGGCCAGAAACCGAGCUUCAGUUCUGAAAUUACUAUAAAAUUCUUCAUUCUGCUGUACCGUACAUCCGCCUUGGUCGUACAGCAGUUCAUCACCUUCAGUUCUUCAGUGAGCACCUCCAUUGAAUCCGAAACUUCAGCCUUGUACACAUAGAACUUUGCCACUACCAAGAAGAAAACAAAGUUCAAGACAUUCAAUAUAGCGAAAAAGGCAUAGUAAUAGUCCAAAUGAGAAACAUUAAGGUUGUUUAGAAUCCAUCCUUUGUGCCCAUGCCUUUUGGUUAUGUCAGAAACCGUUGAAAGCAGAAAGGUACUAAGGAAAUUUCCAAUUCCUAAAGUAGUCAUUGAAUAAGAAGUUCCAAGACUCUUCAUGCUCUCUGGUGCCUGAUCAUAAAAGAACUCAAUCUUCGCUACCUCCUCUAGGAUUCUUAGUCCACCUUCGCGUAAUCCUGACAAAGUAUCGGUCAUAUAAGACGACACAAAUAAGCAUUGAUAAGGUUACAAAUCCUGUUAAACUUGCAGGGGGGAUCUUGAAGUUGCUACCCAUAGCUCUAUCAAGGGUAGUGCCUUGCUUUACAAAAAGGGUGUUGAUUUGAGCAAGCAUUGUGCUGGGAACAAACGUGGCAACCAAGAUUGGGAUCAUUGCUAACAUUUGCUUGGUUUCCUCUACUUGAGUCACUGAGCAUAACAUCCAUGGAUUUGUUGAACUUGUUUUGACUGCAGCUUUGUUAAAAAACCUGCACGCAAGAAUAGACAUGAAGAUACAAUUAAACAAAAAUGUUCCUUGAGUCUGCCACCUAUUCAAUGGGACCAAUAUAUAUAUAUAUGCAACUAUGACACUAACCUCAAAUUUUGGGUGGAGUCGAUCCUGUACUUCCCUUUUUGUGCAUAAUCUUCCAAGUUAAGUUCAUAAAGUUCUUUAGGGUCAGUAGGCAGAGGCACAUUCCAUUUUCUUAUGGCAGCAACAAUGACCUUUGCCAUCCUUGUGAAUGGGCUUCCUGUGGGCUUCUUGUGCCUGUAAAAGGGUGUGCCAGCAAAGAAAAUCGCAAUGGAUAUCGCAAGACCGAGUGUCGGAAGCCCAUAACCCAAGGUCCAGCCCACAUUGUCUUGUAUGUAGACAAGCACUGUAUUGGCAAAGAGUGUCCCAAAGAAGAUGCUGAACAUCCACCAGUUGAAGAAGGAGAGCUUAUGGGCCUUCUCCUUGGGCUCAAAUUCAUCGAAUUGGUCCGCGCCUAUCGUCGAGAUGUUGGGCUUGGUUCCUCCGGUUCCCACAGCCAACGUGUAGAGUGCAGCAAAGAAGAUCCCUAAUUGUAAUGUUGAAGCCUUCUUACAGUCUUGACUGUUAAUAUCUUUGCACGCAGGAGGUUUCAACCCAGGUAAUGACACUGAUAGCGUUAGUACAAUCAUCCCCUGUAAUUAGAAAAAAAAAUAUAAAAUUAAAAAAUCAUUAAAAAAAAACAGACAAAAUUUAUAUAUAUGUCUUUAUAUACAACACGCCCACUUGGUCUGAUUGUCUGAUCUUCCUAUCUUUAACAAGUCAACAAAGAGCAAGACAUCUAAAAGCAUGUGCUCCGAUCUUGAAAAUUGGGAUCAAAUUUUGUCAUUUAUCCUGGUGUUAUCAUUAAUUUAUAUCAGACACCGACAAUGCGACAUUGUAUUGCCUUCUAAAAACAGAUUUUAGGUACCUAGUCAAGUGGUCAUUCAUGCAGGCACUUGUUUGACAUUACAAAAUUAUUUGAUCUUAUCUUUCAAUAUCGGAUAUUUUCAAUAUUUGAAAUUUUGAUAUAUGAUGUUGAACUUGCAAAUCAUGUGAUUGCAUUUGCUUACUGAUUAAAUAUCAUCAGAUGAUUGCAUAUAAGAAAAAGAAACUAAAUGAUCUAAUAAAUUAAUUAGAUAAUAUAAUAUCACAUGACAGUGUGUCGUUGACCAUAAUAAAUAAGUAUACAUACCAUGAGGUAAAUACAAGAAGCGAUGGCGAAGGUCCAGUAGCGGCCGAGAUGGGCAUCGGCAACAUAAGCGCCCACAAUGGGAGUGACCCAAAUGGUGCCAACCCAGUUGGUGACGUUGUUAGCCGACUUCACAGUGCCCUGAUGCAGCUUGUUUG
rnacentral:lncRNA from 1 species